GUGGCGAGCACAUCGAAGGUAUUUCUUUGGAAAACUUGCAACAGCGACACCUAUUCGCGGCAAGUUCAUACUUAGAACUUUUGAUAGCACAACUGCAUUUUUCUCCCCUUUUCCUGAACUUACUCAGAUGAAUUGUUAGGCUAUGAUGGUUGCUUCAUUUCAACACUAAGAACAAAUUAAAUGUUUUUUUUCCUUGGCUAAGGAAGUUUGGAAGUGCUUCAUGUCUUGCUGCAAAUGGGAGGGUGUCCUUCAAUAUACUAAUCUGCAGGAGGUGGUCCAGUGGUUUGAAGCUCAAAGUUGCUAGAAAUCUAUUUUGUGCCAUUUUUUUGGCAAAUUUGGAGUAGAGAGGAACUGAGACUUGGUGAAGACAAGAAGAGUGAUAUAGGUUUGCUUUGAUUGCAUUCAGUUCCUUGGGCUCAGCAUGGAAGAUUGAUUUUGUUAGUAUUUUUUGUUUAAUCUUUGGCUGGAGUACUUGUAUCAGCAAUAAAAUUAGGAUGUGUGACCUGUUUGUUACUAGAUCUUGAUCUUAAUUGCAAUGCUUUAUCUUAUUGUUGUCAAUGAAAUUGCCUUUUAAUGA